AAGCCGGAUUAAUUCCGCAUACGAUCUAUGGAUGAAAGCGGGGGAUCGCAAGCCUCGCGCUAUUGGGGUGGCCGAUGGCGGAUUAGCUAGUUGGUGGGGUAAAGGCCUACCAAGGCGACGAUCCGUAGCUGGUCUGAGAGGACGACCAGCCACACUGGGACUGAGACACGGCCCAGACUCCUACGGGAGGCAGCAGUGGGGAAUUUUGGACAAUGGGGGCAACCCUGAUCCAGCAAUGCCGCGUGUGUGAAGAAGGCCUUCGGGUUGUAAAGCACUUUUGUCCGGGAAGAAAUCCCCUGCCCUAAUACGGCGGGGGGAUGACGUACCGGAAGAAUAGCACC
rnacentral:rRNA from 1 species